AUUGAACGCUGGCGGCAGGGCUAACACAUGCAAGUCGAGCGAGCGGCGGACGGGUGAGUAAUGUCUGGGAAACUGCCUGAUGGAGGGGGAUAACUACUGGAAACGGUAGCUAAUACCGCAUACCAUCAGAUGUGCCCAGAUGGGAUUAGCUAGUAGGUGGGGUACCGGCUCACCUAGGCGACGAUCCCUAGCUGGUCUGAGAGGAUGACCAGCCAGACUGGAACGGAGACACGGUCCAAACGCCUACGGGAGGCAGCAGGGGGGAAUAUUGCAGUAUGGGUGCAAGCCUGAUACAGCCAUGCCGCGUGUGUGAAGAAGGCAUUCGGGUUGUAAAGCAAUUUCAGCGGGGAGGCGUUACCCGCAGAAGAAGCACCGGCUAACUCCGUGCCAGCAGCCGCGGUAAUAC
rnacentral:rRNA from 1 species